GAUGAACGCUGGCGGCGUGCCUAAUACAUGCAAGUCGAGCGAACAGACGAGGAGCUUGCUCCUCUGACGUUAGCGGCGGACGGGUGAGUAACACGUGGAUAACCUACCUAUAAGACUGGGAUAACUUCGGGAAACCGCAGCUAAUACUGGAUAAUAUAUUCAACCGCAUGGUUCAAUAGUGAAAGACGGUUUUGCUGUCACUUAUAGCUGGAUCCGCGUCGCAUUAGCUAGUUGGUAAGGUAACGGCUUACCAAGGCGACGAUGCGUAGCCGACCUGAGAGGGUGAUCAGCCACACUGGAACUGAGACACGGUCCAGACUCCUACGGGAGGCAGCAGUGGGGAAUAUUCCGCAAAGGGCGAAAGCCUGACGGAGCAAUGCCGCGUGAGUGAUGAAGGUCUUCGGAUCGUAAAACUCUGUUAUUAGGGAAGAAAAGAUGUGUAAGUAUCUAUGCACGUCUUGACGGUACCUAAUCAGAAAGCCACGGCUAACUUCGUG
rnacentral:rRNA from 1 species